rnacentral:rRNA from 1 species
CCCUUAGAUGUUCUGGGCUGCACGCGCGCUACACUGAAGCUAUCAACACGUUUUCCCUCCCUGAGAAGGGCGGGUAACCUUUUGAAUCAGCUUCGUGGUAGGGAUCGGGGCUUGCAAUUGUUCCCCGUGAACCAGGAAUUCCUAGUUGACGCGAGUCAUAAGCUCGCAUCGAUUAAGUCCCUGCCCUUUGUACACACCGCCCGUCGCUACUACCGAUUGAACGUUUUAGUGAGGCAUUUGGACCGACGCAUCUCAGUUUAACCGCUGGUUUGUGUUGGAAAGACUUCCAAACUUGAGCGUUUAGAGGAAGUAAAAGUCGUAACA